rnacentral:rRNA from 1 species
CCCUUAGAUGUCCGGGGCUGCACGCGCGCUACACUGAAGGAAUCAGCGUGCUAAAACCAUUGUCGAAAGGCAUUGGUAAACCCAUUAAAAUCCUACGUGAUUGGGAUCGGGAAUUGCAAUUAUUUCCCUUGAACGAGGAAUUCCCAGUAAGUGUGGGUCAUAAGCUCGCGUUGAUUACGUCCCUGCCCUUUGUACACACCGCCCGUCGCUGCCCGGGACUGAGCCGUUUCGAGAAAAGCGGGGAUUGCUGCUGUCGGGGCUUUCGGGCCUUGGCUUCGGUGGAAACCGCUUUAAUCGCAGUGGCUUGAACCGGGCAAAAGUCGUAACA